AGGUGGAAAUCACAGGUGGAUCAUUUUUUGUGGGCAUAAAUACAAUUGAUGACAUCAUGCUACUGGAAAUUCCUUCACAACCAGGCAGGAAAACCGUUGCCUUACCGGACUGUGCAAAUCCUCCCAAUAUAAAUGACACCGUUCAGGUGGCAGGCUUUGGGAAUUACCAGCUAGAUAAGAACAUGAAUGAAAUCCCUGGCCAACCACCUCAUCUAAAGUGUGCAAACAUGCAUGUUGUUGACUGUGAGCCUACCAGAAACUCUCAGUGU